UACGAAGGGGGCUAGCGUUGCUCGGGAUCACUGGGCGUAGAGGGUGCGUAGGCGGGUCUUUAAGUCAGGGGUGAAAUCCUGGAGCUCAACUCCAGAACUGCCUUUGAUACUGAAGAUCUUGAGUUCGGGAGAGGUGAGUGGAACUGCGAGUGUAGAGGUGAAAUUCGUAGAUAUUCGCAAGAACACCAGUGGCUAAGGCGGCUCACUGGCCCGAUACUGACGCUGAGGCACGAAAGCGUGGUGAGCAAACAGG
rnacentral:rRNA from 1 species